rnacentral:rRNA from 1 species
GACGAACGCUGGCGGCGUGCUUAACACAUGCAAGUCGAACGGAAAGGCCCCCACUUUUUUGGUGGGGGUGCUCGAGUGGCGAACGGGUGAGUAACACGUGGGUGAUCUGCCCUGUACUUCGGGAUAAGCUUGGGAAACUGGGUCUAAUACCGGAUAGGACCAUGGUUUAGUGUCUCAUGGUGGAAAAAUUAUUGUUUUGGUGCAGGAUGAGCUCGCGGCCUAUCAGCUUGUUGGUGGGGUAAUGGCCUACCAAGGCGUCGACGGGUAGCCGGCCUGAGAGGGUGGACGGCCACAUUGGGACUGAGAUACGGCCCAGACUCCUACGGGAGGCAGCAGUGGGGAAGAUGGCACAAUGGGCGCAAGCCUGAUGCAGCGACGCCGCGUGGGGGAUGACGGCCUUCGGGUUGUAAACUCCUUUCGUUAGGGACGAAGCCGCACCUUUUUUGGGUGUGGUGACGGUACCUUUGUUAAGAAGCACCGGCUAACUACGU